UGCUGGAACACAUACAUCGAUCUUUAUUC
rnacentral:piRNA from 1 species